rnacentral:rRNA from 1 species
UAGGGAAUCUUCGGCAAUGGACGAAAGUCUGACCGAGCAACGCCGCGUGAGUGAAGAAGGUUUUCGGAUCGUAAAACUCUGUUGUUAGAGAAGAACAAGGACGUUAGUAACUGAACGUCCCCUGACGGUAUCUAACCAGAAAGCCACGGCUAACUACGUGCCAGCAGCCGCGGUAAUACGUAGGUGGCAAGCGUUGUCCGGAUUUAUUGGGCGUAAAGCGAGCGCAGGCGGUUUCUUAAGUCUGAUGUGAAAGCCCCCGGCUCAACCGGGGAGGGUAAUUGGAAACUGGGAGACUUGAGUGCAGAAGAGGAGAGUGGAAUUCCAUGUGUAGCGGUGAAAUGCGUAGAUAUAUGGAGGAACACCAGUGGCGAAGGCGGCUCACUGGUCUGUAACUGACGCUGAGGCUCGAAAGCGUGGGGAGCAAACAGG